rnacentral:rRNA from 1 species
CCAGACUCCUACGGGAGGCAGCAGUGAGGAAUAUUGGUCAAUGGGCGGAAGCCUGAACCAGCCAAGUCGCGUGAGGGAAUAAGGCCCUACGGGUCGUAAACCUCUUUUGCCGGGGAGCAAGGGCGGGGACGUGUCCCGGCCCGGAGAGUACCCGGAGAAAAAGCAUCGGCUAACUCCGUGCCAGCAGCCGCGGUAAUACGGAGGAUGCGAGCGUUAUCCGGAUUCAUUGGGUUUAAAGGGUGCGUAGGUUGUUUUAUAAGUUAGCGGUGAAAUACCGAUGCUCAACAUCGGGGCUGCCGCUAAUACUGUAGGACUAGAGAUCGGAUGCAGCAGGCGGAAUGUGUAGUGUAGCGGUGAAAUGCAUAGAUAUCACGCAGAACUCCGAUUGCGAAGGCAGCAUACCGGCGCUCAACUGACGCUCAUGCACGAAAGCGUGGGUAUCGAACAGGAUUAGAUACCCCGGUAAA